rnacentral:tRNA from 1 species
GCCGCGGUAGUAUAGCCCGGCCAAGUAUGCGGGCCUCUCGAGCCCGUGACCAGGCUAAAUACCUGGCGGGAAACCCGGGUUCAAAUCCCGGCCGCGGCACCA